rnacentral:rRNA from 1 species
AGCGAACGCUGGCGGCAGGCUUAACACAUGCAAGUCGAGCGGGCAUCUUUGUGGUGUCGGCGGCAGACUGGGUAGUAACGCGUGGGAAGGUGCCCUCCAGUUCGGAAUAACUCAGGGCUACUGGUGCUAAUACCGGAUACGUGCGAGAGCAGAAAGGUUGAUCUGCGGAUGGAUCGGCCCGCGUCUGAUUAGUUAGUUGGUGAGGUUAUGGCUCACCAAGGCGACGAUCAGUAGCUGGUCUGAGAGGAUGAUCAGCCACACUGGGACUGAGACACGGCCCAGACUCCUACGGGAGGCAGCAGUGGGGAAUAUUGGACAAGGGGGGCAACCCUGAUCCAGCCAUGCCGCGUGAGUGAUGACGGCCUUAGGGUUGUAAAGCUCUUUCAGUCGGGACGAUAAUGACGGUACCGGCAGAAUAAGCCCCGGCUAACUUCGUG